AGUGAACGCUGGCGGUAGGCCUAACACAUGCAAGUCGAACGGCAGCACAGUAAGAGCUUGCUCUUACGGGUGUCGAGUGGCGGACGGGUGAGGAAUACAUCGGAAUCUACUUUUUCGUGGGGGAUAACGUAGGGAAACUUACGCUAAUACCGCAUACGACCUACGGGUGAAAGCAGGGGAUCUUCGGACCUUGCGCGAUUGAAUGAGCCGAUGUCGGAUUAGCUAGUUGGCGGGGUAAAGGCCCACCAAGGCGACGAUCCGUAGCUGGUCUGAGAGGAUGAUUCGCCACACUGUAACUGAGACACGGUCCAGACACCUACGGGAGGCAGCAGUGGGGAAUAUUGGACGAUGGGCGCAAGCCUGAUCCAGCCAUACCGCGUGGGUGAAGAAGGCCUUCGGGUUGUAAAGCCCUUUUGUUGGGAAAGAAAAGCAGCAGGUUAAUACCCCGCUGUUCUGACGGUACCCAAAGAAUAAGCACCGGCUAACUUCGUG
rnacentral:rRNA from 1 species